GAUGAAGAACGUAGCGAAAUGCGAUAAGUAAUGUGAAUUGCAGAAUUCAGUGAAUCAUCGAAUCUUUGAACGCACAUUGCGCCCGCCAGUAUUCUGGCGGGCAUGCCUGUCCGAGCGUCAUUUCAACCCUCAAGCCCCCGGGCUUGGUGUUGGAGAUCGGCGAGCCCCCCGGGGCGCGCCGUCUCCCAGAUAUAGUGGCGGUCCCGCUGUAGCUUCCUCUGCGUAGUAGCACACCUCGCACUGGGAAACAGCGUGGCCACGCCGUAAAACCCCCCACUUCUGAAAGGUUGACCUCGGAUCAGGUAGGAAUACCCGCUGAACUUAAGCAUAUCAAUAAGCGGAGGA
rnacentral:misc_RNA from 1 species